UCUAGAGAGAGAGAGAGAGAGAGAGAGAGAGAGGGAGAAGAGUACGGUUAAUAGAACCUGUCUUCUACGAGCAAAACCAACCCAUCUUCUCUGCUAAGCUCGCCAACCUCCGUCCUCUCAUAAACCUCACGACAAAGCUAGAGCAACACCAACCGGAGACGGUUACAAGACAUGGUGUCGACGAGAAGAACGGAAAACUAGAUUUCAGGAAGAGAACGGCGGCUUGAAAGAGGAAGACAAUGACUUUUUAUGUGUCUUUACUUCUGUAGAUCCGUAAAACCUAGCGUUUAAGGAAAGUUUCUCAGACGUCGACGAAGACGGAAGUGGUAGAAGAAGCUUGACGACAGCGUGGUCGUUCGGUUGAGAUGCAGGAAGCAUGGUCGUUGUGUGGUGUGCGGCGGAGACUGAAGAACAUGGUUUACUGGUGGAAGAUCGGAGAUUGAUGGAGUUGGUUCAGAAUCAAGUUGACGGCAGCGAAGGAGAUAGGGUUAAUUUUGUGUUUUAGGUUUAGAAAUGUUUGUCUGUAAACCAGGUUUAAUAACUAAACCGGUAUCAUUUGUAAACAAUUCUUUUAAUAAUAUAUUAAUUUUAUUUAAAA